UCAUAUCAAUAAGCGGAGGAAAAGAAACCAACAGGGAUUGCCCUAGCAACGGCGAGUGAAGCGGCAACAGCUCAAAUUUGAAAUCUGGCGCAAGCCCGAGUUGUAAUUUGUAGAGGAUGCUUCAGGGCAGCGGCCGGUCUAAGUUCCUUGGAACAGGACGUCGUAGAGGGUGAGAAUCCCGUAUGCGACCGGUUGGCACCCGUCACGUAGCUCCUUCGACGAGUCGAGUUGUUUGGGAAUGCAGCUCUAAAUGGGAGGUAAAUUUCUUCUAAAGCUAAAUACCGGCCAGAGACCGAUAGCGCACAAGUAGAGUGAUCGAAAGAUGAAAAGCACUUUGGAAAGAGAGUUAAAAAGCACGUGAAAUUGUUGAAAGGGAAGCGCAUGCAACCAGACUUGUCGGCGGUGUUCCGCCGGUCUUCUGACCGGUCUAUUCGCCGCCGGCAGGCCAGCAUCAUCUGGGCGCGCCGGAUAAAGGCGUGGGGAAUGUAGCUCCUCGGAGUGUUAUAGCCCCGCGCACAAUACGGCGCCGCCCGGGUGAGGUCCGCGCUUCGGCUAGGAUGCUGGCGUAAUGGUUGUCUGCGGCCCGUCUUGAAACACGGACCAAGGAGUCUAACAUCUAUGCGAGUGUUCGGGUGUCAAACCCCUACGCGUAAUGAAAGUGAACGGAGGUGGGAAGCGCAAGCUGCACCAUCGACCGAUCCUGAUGUCUUCGGAUGGAUUUGAGUAAGAGCAUAGCUGUUGGGACCCGAAAGAUGGUGAACUAUGCCUGAAUAGGGUGAAGCCAGAGGAAACUCUGGUGGAGGCUCGCAGCGGUUCUGACGUGCAAAUCGAUCGUCAAAUUUGGGUAUAGGGGCGAAAGACUUAUCGAACCAUCUAGUAGCUGGGUUCCUGCCGAAGUUU
rnacentral:rRNA from 1 species